UGACGUACACUUGUACAAGUGGUCAAAGGUGACAAGCUGAGAUUGCGCCAGGUGUCCUCUUGCAAUUAAUUUGAAGUUUUUAGUGCAAAAAGCUUAGAAAAAAGGUAAUAAAUAGUAGGAAAAUCCUAAAAAUGCCCCGAAAAUUACCCUGGCCUCCUUCUGACGUUAUAAAAAUAAGGGAAUCUAUAAAUCAUCCGUUUUGCAAUGAAAAAAUCCAAAUUAUUUUACAUAACUCACUUUCCUCUUAACCCUAAGUAUAUAUGUUUGUUAACUUUAACUUCAAUAACCUACUUCAACAAGCAUCUCCCGUU
rnacentral:lncRNA from 1 species